GAUGAACGUUGGCGGCGUGCCUAACACAUGCAAGUCGAACGCUAGUAGCAAUAUUAGAGUGGCGCACGGGUGAGUAACACGUAGCUUACCCACCUCCCAGCGCGGGAUAACGGUUCGAAAGAACUGCUAAUACCGCAUAAGCUCACGGGCUAUAGAGGCUAGUGAGAAAAGGCUUAGGUCACUGGGAGCGGGGGCUGCGGCCCAUCAGCUGGUUGGGGCGGUAACGGCGCACCAAGGCGACGACGGGUAGGGGACCUGAGAGGGGUGCCCCCCACACUGGGACUGAGACACGGCCCAGACUCCUACGGGAGGCAGCAGUGAGGAAUAUUGCACAAUGGGGCGCAAGCCUGAUGCAGCGACGCCGCGUGGGUGACGAAGGUCUUCGGAUCGUAAAGCCCUUUUCNGCGUGACGAGCAAGGACGGUAGCGCAGG
rnacentral:rRNA from 1 species